rnacentral:misc_RNA from 1 species
ACGCCCGUUUGGGGAAAGAGGUACAAAAAGAUCGGCCCGUGUUUUGAGUAACACCAGAUGAGGGGUAGUCGCCGGUAGAAACGAACGUCCGUGUCAGGCAUGAUUUCGACGCUGACCGCUAUGCGGACUUUCGAGAGGGCUCCGGCCCUCUUCGUGUGGGCCCUGGGCGCCGUGGCCUGGGUGCUCGCCGCGGCGCUUGUCGUACGCGCGGCGCGCGGCGUGGCCGAGUGGUUGCGCAUGUGGUGGUACCUGCGCGAUGUGCCCAAGCCGAAGCCGCAGAAGUCGUUCACGCUGCUUCUCGACCUGUACAAACAGAUGUCGGCCAUGGACCCCAAUAUGGACACGAAAGUCAAGGCAUUCAAGUACCUGGCGAACUUGUUCAAGUCCGUUGAAGACCAGGACGUGACAGUUGCCUUCUACGGCCCGUACGCCUUUCUUCUGGGUUCCACGCCGCAAGUCGUUGAGGCUAUCUUGGGUGACACGAAGAACGUGAACAAGGCCUUCUUCUACAACAUGAUGAAGCCAUGGAUUGGGGAAGGUAUACUGACGCUGGGGGACGAACCAUGGAAAGCACGUCGGAGGGCAGCUAACACCCGCCUUCCACUUUCGCAUUCUCGACGAUUACAUACCCAUCAUGGACAAGAGAGGCGAGAGGCUCGUGCGCAAGAUGACCACCAUGAACGGAGAGUAUUUCAACGUCCUCCCCAUAGUUCGCGCAGCGGCCUUCGGAGUGCUCUUUGAAACAUCGAUGGGUAUCGAUUACGACGAAGACGACAUCGAACGUACCGGAUACCUCAAAAUUCACGACGCCAUUUCAGACAUCGUGGUGAACCGCGUCGUCAACUUUCACCACUGGUUCGAUACCAUCUUUGCAUUGAGCAAAGAGCACAAACAGAUGUUAAAAUACGUGGAGGAGGCCAGGCAGUUUGUCAAUAACAUACUACAGAAGAGGAUAGCCGAUUACCGGAAAGGCAUCAGAGAUCCUGUUUCGAAGAAUUCUUUCCUCGAAAUUCUUCUCCGAAUGUGCCUUGACGAUCGCACAAUGAGUGAAAUUGACGUCCGGGACGAGCUGCUGUCUACUCUCAUUGGGGGCUUUGACACAACGGCGACAAGCAUCGCUUACACGCUCUACCUUCUCGGCCAUCAUCCUGAAAUUCAAGCUAAGGUUCAGGAUGAGAUCGACAUAGGUCUGCGGAGACGACUGGGACAAACCCCUUACCGCGGAGCAACUGAAGAACCUCACCUACAUGGAAUGUGUGCUUAAGGAGGCCAUGAGGCUUUAUCCAGCAGGAUCUAUUAUGGGCCGCAGCGUCGAAAGGGAUAUGAAAAUUGGAAAGUACACCAUUCCUCGCGGAACCGUGGCAGUCGUGGCUCUCUACUUCCUUCAGAGACACCCAAGGUACAUUGAGGACCCGAAUAGCUUCAAACCCGAGAGGUUCAUGGACUCGAAAAGCAUACACACCUACGGGUUCGCCCCCUUCUCCGCGGGACCACGAAACUGCCUUGGUCAAAAGUUCGCACUGAGAGAAGAAAAAGUCUUGCUGGCGCACAUUAUGCGUCGCUUCAAUGUCAACUCGAAAGUCCCCAUCGACAAGCUUGAACUGGCCAUGGAGCUUAUUCUAAAGCCCAUUCAAGGCCUUGAAAUCAAAUUAACACCUAGGAAGCAGCCUUCGUUGAACUGAAAUCGACGAAGCAUAGCACAAAUCGCUCGGCCGUGCCAUAGUAUACAUUUGUACAAUAUUCAUCAUCAUCCGUCAUUGAAACGUUGCCUAUAUAUUUAGUUCCUACAAAAUAAAUUUGUUUUUCGAUA